CCCCAUUGGCCCGGCCCUGCGCCCCCGAGCGCGGUGUCCUCCCGCGUUCCAAGCUCCAGCCCCAUUGGCCCGGCCCUGCGCCCCCGAGCGCGGUGUCCUCCCGCGUUCCAAGCUCCAGCCCCAUUGGCCCGGCCCUGCGCCCCCGAGCGCGGUGUCCUCCCGCGUUCCAAGCUCCAGCCCCAUUGGCCCGGCCCUGCGCCCCCGAGCGCGGUGUGUCCUGCGGCGUUCCGAGCGCCCCAGGGGUGCGCGCCCCCGCUCGGGCCCAGCCGUGUGACUCUCCUGGACAGGGGCUAGUCACAAGCCCGCUAGAAAUGGACCGAGCGGCUGCACGCACCCGCACGGAGAGAAAUCAAAACCAAGCAGCAGUGUUUCCUGGACCGUUAAUGCGUAGCUCAGGCGCAGCCUUCGUUUAGGGACUGAACCCGUCUAGCUGGAAAAAAAAAAAAAUCUACUUGUUACUAUUAUUUUUAAGGGCCUCGGCACAGGUUACCUUAAAACCAUCCUAAAGGCACUUAAAAUGAGAGCAGUUAGCGAUUAAAGGGUGUUAAACUGCCUUAAAAACCUUCUAAGGGGAUCUCAGCCUUUUCUGUACCAGAAGCCCUUUGUAAACAUCUGUAGCCAGUCUCACGCCAGUGCCUUUCAGUACCCACAGGCAGGCCCCAGCCCCGGGGGUGGGGGGCAAGCAUCCCAGCAAGGGCUGCAACUCUGUUUUCAAAUUUGCUAUCCGCGUUUAAAUGUUAUCCAUGUGUUCAGGUUGAUUUGGGACCCUUUCGUAUAGUCUUACAACCUACUUUUGGGUGGUAACCUAUGGGUUGAGAAAUGCUGCUCUAACCAUUUCAAAGUUAUGCCACUCCAGCUGAACAAUCUCUCUCUAUAAUCCUAUACUAAUGGCUUGGUCGUGCUUUGCUUGUAGGUCGUGGAGGAACCCAAGAUGAACUUGCUAGAUCAGUCCGUCAUCAAGAAAGGUAUGUGCUGGGCUUGGCGCAGGAGCGCACCAAGUUUAAAGUGCUGCUUGCUUCUUUUUUUUUUUUUUUUUUUUUGCACGUGUUAAACCUUAAAGUUGGUGCCAACAACCUUGUCAGCGAUCUUUGGACCCACAGAUAAAGCAGUCAUGGAAGAUAAUCAUCUCCAACUACGAGGGAUUGCCAAAGAUUAACUUAUAUUUGUGGUUUCUAUUUCAGUCACCUUCUGACCUACCCCAACCUUGGCUUUUGACCCGAUUCUAAGACCAGCAUUACCAUACAGAACCAGCAAAAUAGAGAAGCCAGCCUUAUCAAACUGCCCAGACUUAGAAACGCUGGCAAGACAGGAAAUUUGACCAGAUCACCAAGAUAAUGUCUCAAGCUGCGGAAGUGACCUGGGAUCCAGAGCAAGAGCCACUAUGGCAUACAUGUCAAGCAAGAGCAUACAGCUUUGACUUACCAGCUACCUUGCACCUUAAGACCAUCAACAUUUCUACCACCUUUACUAUGUAAUCUCUUUUUCCCAUCUAUCUCCUCUCUCAAAAACAAGAAAAGUAAGUGUUGUUCAUAACAAGAAAAUGCAACAUCCCAUGACAGAACUAACCUAUGUUCCUUACUCAGAAAGACGGUGGAUAAGCCUGCUUGUAUCUUCUCCCUGAAAAAAAGAACUGGUAAGUUUUGAUUAAGUCUAUUCUGCAAAAACUCUCAAAUGUCAAUUUAAAAAGUCUUGUAUUGAUGUGUGUUUGAAUCUUAAUCAGUACAUUUUCACAAUUUGGCAUGAAUUUGCUAUUGUGUCCAUCAAAGGGCCGUUUUUGCAUUUGCCCAUACCUGUAUAAUGUUAAUCAAACAAAAUUUGGGUUUGAGUACAGAGACCUCGACCUAUCUCAAUCUGUUCAUUCCACUGAAAUUAGCAAAACAGCUUCCAAGAGAAGAUGAGUAAAUAGAUCAAUCUAUGUUUUCACUGACUACCUGUCUUGUAUGCAUACCAGCCCAGCCUCUGGCUUUUUUACUUUUCAUUCCAUCCAGGAAGAACACACACCAACUGCAGAAGCUUCCUUAGCCUGACGAAGGGUUUUUGAACCCUAAAACUUGCUUAAAAAUUGUUUUCCAACUAUUUAAGUUGGUCUAAUAAAAGAUAUCAGAUUCACCCAAAGAACCUUGUCAAGCUAAACAUAAGGGAUUUUGAUACUAUUGUAAAAAAGUCCAGCACCAUCCCAAGAAAUAUUAACAAGAGUAUCAUAAGGAAGCCACAUGAAAUAAUCCUUCUAUUCUACUCAGCAAUGGAAAGGCCUUUGCCAGAGGACUGUAUCUUGUUUCAGGCACCAAGAAAGAUGUAGACCAAUGGAAGAGUCUAGGAGAUCAACAAAAAUGAUCAGGGGCCUAGAAAACAUGAAAAGAAAUUGAAAGAAUUUGAUUUGUUAAUAAUUUAACAAAGAAGGCUGAGGGAGACAUGAUAGGAUCUUCAAAAUUUAUUUUAAAAGAAGUUACUUUAGAUAAGAAGGUUUUGUUUGGAGUAAACAGAAAACAGGUGAGGUAGAUUAGCUUUCGAUAAUUUGCCAAAUGUUCAUCCAGUGUAAGAUUAAGAAUAUCACUCAUCUUUUAAGGACAGAUUACUAAAGCAGGAGCUUUUGAAUCAGUAGUAGCAGUUGCCCACAGAAUGAGACUGGGCUUUUAAAUGAACAAUUUUCUCUUCAGAGGGGUGUGUUUUGUUUGAGAACACAUUCUAUAUAUGGUUCUAAUACUUGGUGAGAGAGGCAAUGUAGAUUUAAGUCCUGAUAUUUCUCCUGAACCUGGGCAACAGCUAGAUGUUUUUAUUUAAUCAUAUAUUCUUUAUUGUGCUGAAUAUUUUAAGUUUGGCAAAAGUAUGUUAUUUGCUAGUCUGCAGGCAUGUUUAUACUGCUAUAAACUUACCAGCCCAGAGUGCUGAAACAGGAUGUGCUGCUCUAGGCAUGCCAACUCUCAAACCUGAAAUCAUUUUAAGAGCAGUACUAAGUUGUGUUGAUAGGGAGUGUUAAUUAGCUUUGGAGACUACACUACUGGUUCAGGAUGUAAAUGCAUGCACAGCAUGUUCCAGCACAACCCUGCCUGGUGUGGUUAGCUAAUGGUAUAGACAUGCCCUGCAUAGUUACAUUUUUGUUUCCUCUUUUGUUUUUAAUAGAAAAUAUUGUUUUUAAUAGCCAAGAGAUUCCACAAGGUACUUGGUUUGCCUUGUCCUCUCUUUUUUGGCAGGAAAGUUGUAAAUAGACUGAAAGAGAUUUCAUUUGAGUAAGGGUUAUUCUUUUCACCCAACUUCUUUUUUUUUUUGUGGUCACAAAUUCACUUUCCCAAACCCAAUUUCCCCUUAGCUUCAUAAGGAAAGAGAGCUCACACAGAACUAGUGUGAGGUGCCUAUCACUCUACUCCACUCCCUUCUGUACUGUAACUACAGCUGAACCACUCAAGGCAGUUCACCUGAAGAGAGACAAGAAGAUAUACCCCUAAGGCUUUUUGAACAAUGUAUCAUUUUAAAAAUUCUGCCCUGCAUUUUUAAGGGAAUGAAACAAUAAACUGUGCGCGCCGGGUCUGACCCCGGGUUGCUUUCGUCGCUCUGCACGCGGGCUGUGGCCAGCAGCCCGGGCAGGCCGGGUUGGAGAGGGAGGUCGCCGAGCUAGAAUUAGGCACAGACACGUAACGGUUGAUUUUAAGAUUAUUUUACUUACACCGAGAUGGUUGUGGUGUAGGCUGAGAACUUGCUUGAGUUGCGGUUACAACAAAAAACAUGAACACACGUGGAGGUUGCAAGGCUCCACGCAGACAGAACACGAACAAUCAUGUGGAGGUUGCUAGGCUCCACGCAGACAAACUCCGGAUGUCCAGGACAAGCGCGCAUUAAACUCGUCGUUACGUCUUAUAGUAGGCUCCGUUCGAAGAUGGGAAGAGGUGGGCGGUGGAUCAGGCCGCCAAACCCCUCUGAGCGACACACAGGGUUUCUAUUACCCUGCUGCGCACACCCAGAGUCCCCACGAGAUGGAUGCGGAGUCCUCUUCGGCUUGGGCAGAAACUGCUCAAGCCUCUUAUACGGCUAGUAGGCCAAUCGCUAGCCGCCACGUGUGAAUAAUUUAGAACUAGCCAAUUGCGGGGCGCAAAUUUGCAUAUGACGAGCGAGAAACCUUUGCACCGUGCAUUUCUGUGUUGCAAAGGAAAUGCACCCUGCAAAGAUCGCUGCAAAGUGGCAGGAACACUUCCCCUUCCCUGCACGCGGGUUCUCUGCGCAGCAGAACUCCACCGUGCAACGAAGCUGUAUACCCACGGGGAUAAUUCUUAGUGCCGAAGCACACACAAAAAAAAAAAAAAAUCAGACCUCUGGGUCAUGACAUCCCCCCCCUUGCUGAAGGCACAAUAGAAUUAUACUUCAAACCUAUCAUCCGGGUUAUUCAUAGCUCUGUCAAUGGUUCGCGAAACUAAACGAGCAAAAACAAAAUCAGUCAACAAUAAAAGUUCGUCCUCAAGGGAUCGAAUCAAAUAAUAGCUGGCACACACACAUAUACAUAAAAUCACAUUCAUAACAAAAAACUGAACGAUCACGACUUCGGUGGGCGUCAUGGUGGAAUCGCGCGUCAGGCCUUCGUUCCUUUCAGUGAUGUUGUCCCUCUUGGGCCUCUCUCCACCACGCACUCCGAAUCUCAGAUCUGUAAAAGACCUCUCUUUAAAUGGUUAUUCAAUACUAUCUACAAAAAUCACACAGGACCGCACGAUAAUGCAGUCGAUUAAACUUAUCAGUACUAUUAAAUACAAAUAUAUAAACACGAUUUUAUACUGGACAGCUCUCUUUCUUUUCCGACUCAGCAACUCGAUGAAAUCGUCGAUGAGUCAUCGUCGGCUUCUUCUAGAUAGUGAAAACCCAACUCGUAAGCCAGCUGCCAUUGUCCCGCGUCUCCUAAAAUCCGAAGCUGUCUCUCAUUAAGUCCAGAAAGCUGCAGGAGGUAUCCAAACAUGUAUCGCUCCUCUUGCGUUCUCUGGCGUAAUACUGGAUGCUCGGAUUCGCGGUGUUUCGUGUUCUGAGCCUCAGUCGGGCGUUGAUACUCCCGAUCACUGGAUAGUCUUGGCUCCAUGAGGACGCGCAGUCUUGACAACUGAUGAAGGAGACUACUCACAGGAUGAUCGACCAGUGGGUUCAGCACAAUUCACAAAACCACGAUGUUUCUUUGCCCGUAAACCUUAAGGCAACUAUCUAUGCUGUCGAGAGUCACUGGAACGGUUCUAGGGUCUCGCAGGUGACGGUGAGGCCACGGUUGCAUUCGUUGGAGCGGCGUUAGUCCCAACGUGCAUUCUCUUGGGUUCCAGGCGCAAUAUGAAACUCCAAUAAUAGCCAGUACAAGCUGUUCUGCACCGGUGUGCUCUGGUCGUCCGUCGUGCCAUGCGUGGGCCUUCUGUUCAAUCACUCCUGCCACAAGCGCUGGAAUCGGAAUAGGCCAAUGGACGCUAAACGCCACCAUGUCGAUGUUGGUGGCGUGUCCCCUACUCCAUGAAGCUUGUCUCACCAAGAAGCUUGCUUCUUCCUGGUCCAGGAGGUCGGACCCAAGUUCCACGACCAGACGUCCCAACCACACAGCCAGAGUUUCGUCGGAUCGGAUCCUGGAUUCUCUACACAAAUUCUGCAGUUCGGCUCUGGAACGAGCGUAAUAGGUGGUAGCUUGAACUGCAUUCUGCAGACCGAUGACUUGGCUGCUUGAUACUGUAGGCUGAUCAAUUUCUUCAUGAGUUGUCUUUGCUGUUGCUGUUUCUGUCGGAGCUGCAGUCAUUGUUACAGUGGGAGUCGUUGCUGUCUCAGGCGGGAGGGGCGGAUGCACUCCUCCGCUUGACUCCCCCUCCCUUCAGCAGAGGGGCGUGGUCGGCGGAACCGACGCUGCGUCGCUGGGCGGAGUUACCGGCCGAACCCUCGCGGGCUCUCCCGAAGCUCCAUCCCUCACUUCCGGCUCCUCCACGCGGUCUUCCCUCUGCUCGGCGCCAUCUUGUUGGGACUUUUCAAGAUCUCUUUUCUCAGCCGCUUCUCCGACCGCUCGAACAGCCAUAUGCAGCUGGGUCUUUAAACUUAAAGUUUCACUCAUCAGAUCAGCCAUAGUUUGAAAAGUUGCAUUUAGUUUUCCCCUCUUGUCGCACCGUAGGACCACUCUCUCAUUUACAGCGCGGUCCUCCGUCUCCGGGUCUUCGUGGAGCUCGGACGGGUGAUCUCGACCCCUCAGUCUAGGCACCACCAUGCAAGGGGAAAACCAGCCGAUUGGCAUCGUCUCUCCCAUCUCUCGGGCACACCGUGAGCAACGGACACACUCCCGGGUGGGGGUCGGGCUUACUGCGCUCGCCGGGUCGACUUCGGCAAGGGUCACAGCAUCGAGGGGCCUAUACAGGACCCGCUCAUCGCCCAUGAUACACCCGAACGCCGCGGGGUGAAGAUAUAUCUCUUUCCCUUCCAGGUCUCCAACUUCUGGAGUUCCCUCUUCUCCCCUUAACGAAAGGUGUCCACGGACACAUCUCUUGCCCGUUCCGCCUGCCUGGUGGUACGCGAGGUGCACCUCCAGUUCUCCGACGCUUGCUACGCUGUGUCUCCCACUUCUCCAAGGGCAGUUCUCAACUAAUUCUAACUAGUGAGCCCUCUCCUGAGCUCAUCGGCAUGUGCCGCAGUGAUCCCGAUCCCAUCCUCGUCGCCAUGUGCGCGCCGGGUCUGACCCCGGGUCGCUUUCGUCGCUCUGCACGCGGGCUGUGGCCAGCAGCCCGGGCAGGCCGGGUCGGAGAGGGAGGUCGCCGAGCUAGAAUUAGGCACAGACACGUAACGGUUGAUUUUAAGAUUAUUUUACUUACACCGAGAUGGUCGUGGUGUAGGCUGAGAACUUGCUUGAGUUGUGGUUACAACAAAAAACACGAACACACGUGGAGGUUGCAAGGCUCCACGCAGACAGAACACGAACAAUCACGUGGAGGUUGCUAGGCUCCACGCAGACAAACUUCGGAUGUCCAGGACAAGCGCGCAUAAAACUCGUCGUUACGUCUUAUAGUAGGCUCCGUUCGAAGACGGGAAGAGGUGGGCGGUGGAUCAGGCCGCCAAACCCCUCUGAGCGACACACAGGGUUUCUAUUACCCUGCCACGCACACCCAGAGUCCCCACGAGAUGGAUGCGGAGUCCUCUUCGGCUUGGGUGGAAACUGCUCAAGCCUCUUAUACGGCUAGCAGGCCAAUCGCUAGCCGCCACGUGUGAAUAAUUUAGAACUAGCCAAUUGCGGGGCGCAAAUUUGCAUACGACGAGCGGGAAACCUUUGCACCGUGCAUUUCUGUGUUGCAAAGGAAAUGCACCCUGCAAACAUCGCUGCAAAGUGGCGGGAACACUUCCCUGCACGCGGGUUCUCUGUGCAGCAGAACUCCACCGUGCAACGAAGCUGUAUACCCACGGGGAUAAUUCUUAGUGCCGAAGCACACACAAAAAAAAAAAAUCAGACCUCUGGGUCAUGACAUAAACAAGUUCCCAAGAAAGAAUACUGAAUCAGUCAGAGGCUUCUAACAGACAAGACAUGCAUUGUUUAGGAGUGAAAUUCUUCCACUCCUAAGCUGCAAUAGAAAUUUAAAUGCGAGACACAGAAGACAAAUAGGACAAUUUAGUAACCAAGGGCACAAGCAAAAAACAGUAUUUAUUCUGGGUGAAAACACUGACCCCUGGUGUAACUUUAUAUUCCCUGAGCUACUAGAGUAUGAGCUCAAAGGCCAAAGGUGCUAUAAGACCUAGUUUGCUCAUUUUACUGUAAGAAGGGAUUAGUCACCAGUGGCUAUUGAUAGCACAACAGAAAAUGAACCUGCAGCUGUAUGUCUGGCCACAACAUCUCAGAAUUAAAACAUCCUAAAUCUGCUUCAGUAAGAAUUUUUGCUACAAGUUCAGACCCCAAAAUCUCACUGCGCUGCCCUCUGUUGUGAUUGCUCUUAGGUAUUAGGGGCAUAUCUAUACUGUGGUCAGUCUGCAUACUCAAGAUGAGCUAGCUAAAGUUAUCUACCAUGGGCUUUAGUGUAGCCUAGCACCCUACCCCAUCCCCAAAUAUGCACCCAGAGUUCCCAAGAGUUUGUACAAUCUGAACUGAAGUCUGUGCUGCCCCUGGUCUUCACUACUCCAACUAGUGGUUAGCUAAAGUUAACUCAGAUAUGCCAACAUGUGGUACAAUUAAUUACACCUCUUACUGCAAUAUAGGUAUAUUAGUUUCUAGCAGAACUGUCAAGCUGAGAAGCAGGGAUCUGAGCAUGAAUGAUGGUCCUAGAUGACAUGUGUGAUAUGUACCAUCAUCCUGAUACUGACUCACGACAGAUUGUGAUAUCUCAUCACAUUUUCUCAGAACAGAGUCAUAAUAGUGACCACUGAGAGAAUGAGCAGCAUAUGCUAAAUGCAGAGAUCUAAAAGGGCUGGGAAAAGAGUAAGAAAUCUUGCAAAUGACACUGGGACCUGCCUGGUGCAACUGAUGGGCUGAACUAGACCCACUGUGUUGGACUUAUUUCUUUGACACAACACCCUUCUUUGACUGUAAAUUUGUUAUUCGGUAGUUACCUGGGUAUAAAACCUCACAUUAUAGAGCAUCAGUUCUGUUGUGGAUAAGGGGGUCUUGCUUGCUAUGUGUGUAUGGGGUUUACCACCUUUUAUGUCACUAUGUAAUGCAAUGUGCUGUUAAAACAAUGCGAUUUUGAAAUAAUAACAUGAUGUUUUGUCAGCCUAAUGUUUAAACGGAAGCAAAAUGUUUCUACAAUCAUUGCCUAUAGCAGGCCUUCUCACCCUAGUAAAAUCAGUAAGUCCCUGCAGAAUUCAGGAUGAACAGCAAGUGGCAACUUCAGUCAAGGACAUAUAGUGGAAAAUGUCUAUUUAUAGUUAGAAUACAGAAUUGUAAUACCCAAGGCUCAUUGCUUAUUUUUAGCAGUAUAUUCAGCCACAACUGGUAGGGACCAGUGCAAAAUUGAGAGGGGGUGUUUGAAGAAAAAAAAAAAAAGAGUCACAUGAAUAUGAACUAACCCACUGACUAGAAAAACUUAGAGCAAGUUACUUGUCCUUUUCAGGCCUAACCCUAAAGUGCUAUUAAAGCCAUUUAAUUCAUUAAACUAUUUAAUUUAUUAA